rnacentral:lncRNA from 1 species
CAUGUCCGGCCAGCAAGGGUAUCCUCAUGCAAACUUGAUUCUCAACCAUGGAAAAUGAAAAAGAAUGCAUGGGAAAGGUAGAUCACAAGCUAAACUCAAGAAAUUUUACCUUUGAUUGCUUGAUUACUUGAAAUCCACCAAUUUUCUUUUGAAUUUUCACUCUACGGUUCUUGUUCUUUCUUUUCUUCCUUUGUUCUUCUUUGGCCGGCCAUAAUGAAGAGAAAUGGGCUGGUUUUGUGCUAAUUUUGAGGAAAAUAAUAAAGAAUUAAUAGCUUGACACUUGUCACUUUACCAUUGUUCCAUUUUUAAAUUCUUUACUAUUAAGCUUUCUUUCUCCACCACAUAAAAUCCUUCAAUUAUCCAUGAUAAUAUUGGGUAAAAUCCAUGUUCUGGACAAGUGUUGGGUGGUGCAAAAUUACAAUUUUGCCCCUGAGGUGGCAAACUGACUAUUUUGCCCUUAUGCUCGGAAAAAUGUCGAAAUUAAAAUUCUUCACUUUUCAAACUCAAAUUAUAUUUCGAAUGAUCAGUCUUAGUCAAAAAUUUCAUCCAACACUCACAUCUUUAACCUCGGGUGGAAAAAUAACCAUUUUACCCCUAGGUCAUGAAAAUUCCAUUUUGACUCCAAAUCAGUCCUCGAACUCUGAAUCACCAUUUUAAGUCUUUCUGGGAAUUCAAAAUUCUCAAUUUCAUCUUAAAAUCUCUAUUUGGUCUAGUGCAAGGCUUAAUUCCACGUAAUUCUACCAUUCAGUAUACUAUCGACUUUUGACAAUUUUUCGGGGUUUUCCAAGUAUGCAAGCAUAUUGUCAAGCACAUGAAUGACAUGGCAUGUAUUUUAUAAGGUUGGGCUUGAUAGCACUACCCCCCUUAAAAUAAAAUUUUGACCUCAAAAUUUCACUUACUGGAUUCGAAGAAAAUAUGUGGGUAUUGGUUUCUCAUCUGAUGCUCGACUUCCCACGUCAUCUCCUCCAUUCGAGCAUUCUUCCACAACACUUUAACCAUUGGAAUGCUCUUGUUCCUCAACACUCGAUCCUUUUGAUCUAGAAUGUGUAUAGGUUGCACCUCGAAUUUCAAACCUUCAUGCAACUCAAUCGGAGGUGUCUCUAGAAUAUGGGAAGGAUCGGGAACAUACUUUUUCAGCAUUGAGACGUGGAAAACAUUAUGAAUCCGAUCUAACUUCGGGGGUAAUUCGAGUCUAUAAGCCACUAGCCCAAUCUUUUCAAAGAUACCAAAGGGUCAAAUAUAUCUUGGAUUGAGCUUUCCCCACUUCCCGAAUUGAAUCACACCUUUCAUUAUCCAAUAAAUACCACGAUCACCCAAAUAGCAUCCUUCCCACUCUGUGUUCGCAGCAAACCCAAUACAAAGUUCAUAGUCACGUGUUCCCAAUUCCAUUCAGGAAUCGGUAAAGGCUGAAGAGUACCUGAUGGUUUUUGAUGUUCCGCCUUAAUCUAUUGGCAUGUGAGACAUUUUGCUACAAACUCUGCUAUGUCUCAUUUCAUACCCAGCCACCAAUAACUUUCCUUAAUGGUCCGAUACACCUUAGUGCUUCCGGGAUGUAAAGCAUAGGCGAAAGAAUGAGCUUCCUCCAAAAUAGCUCAUCUCAACUGAUCAUCCUUAGAGACACAAAUUCGGUCUCUAAGCAUCAAAGUACCAUCAUCACUAAGUCUGAACUCACUAGUUUCUCCAUUUUGCAGCUUUUGAACUUCCUGUUUCAACUCAUCAUCGGAUUUUUGCAAUUCUCUGAUUUGAUUCAACAAUGAAGGUCUAACAUCAAAACUAGCAAGUAAGGUUCCAUCCUCGCCAUUAUUCAACUGGAUCCCUAGGGAUUUCAUCUCAAGUAACAUCGAAACAUAAAAACUCUGGAGUAUUGCUAACGAAGAUGAGGAUUUACGACUUAAAGCAUCUGCUACAACAUUUGCCUUCCUAGGGUGAUAAUCAAUCACUAAGUCGUAAUCCUUAAUCAACUCUAACCAUCGUCUCUGUCUCAAGUUAAGCUCUUUCUGGGUGAGCAAGUAUUUCAAACUCUUAUGGUCGAUAAAAAUCUGGCAAUGCUCACCAUAUAAAUAAUGCCUCCAAAUCUUUAAUGUGAAGACUAUUGCUGAUAACUCCAAGUCAGGGCUAGGGUAAUUCGUCUCAUGCUUCUUCAACUGUCGGGAAGCAUAAGUUAUCACUUUCUCAUCUUGCAUCAACAUACACCCUAAUCCCAAUUUACAGGCAUCAUUGUACACCAUAAAUUCUUUUCCACUACUAAGAAGUGUUAAAAUGGGAGCAGAGGUCAAUCGGUUCUUCAGCUCCUGAAAUCAACUCUCACAGACAUCAUCCCACUCAAACUUAACUCCUUUACUAGUCAAACGAGUUAGAGGAGUAGCUAUCAAUAAAAAUCCUUGAACAAACCUCCAAUAAUAACCAACUAAGCUAAGAAAACUACGAAUCUCUGUUACCGUUUUCGGUUAUUCCCAUCGUAAGAUGGCCUUAAUCUUCUUGGGAUCAACAUAAAUUUCAUCCCCAAACACAACAUGUCCCAAGAAAACCACUUCCUUUAACCAGAACUCACAUUUAGAGAACUUAGCAUAGAGUUGUCUCUCGCGCAAAAUUUGCAACACAAUGCGCAAAUGGGCAGCAUGUUCAUCAUUAUUCUUCGAAUAAACUAGGAUGUCAUCUACGAAUACUAUCACGAACUUAUCUAAGUAUGGAUGAAACACCUUGUUCAUAAGAUCCAUAAAAGUUACCAGGGCAUUAGUCAAACCAAACAGCAUCAUCAAAAACUCAUAAUGCCCAUAACGCGUCCUGAAAGCAGUCUUAGGUACAUCCUACUCCUUAAUCUUCAAUUGAUAAUACCCAGACCUCAAAUCAAUCUUAGAAAACACCAUAGAACCUCGUAAUUGAUAAAAAAGAUCAUCGAUCCAGGGUAGUGGAUAUUUGUUCUUGAUGGUCACUCGGUUCAGUUGACGAUAAUCGAUACAUAACUGAAGAGUGCCAUCCUUCUUCUUUACAAAUAGGACUAGUGCUCCCCAAGGAGAAGUGCUAUGGUGAAUAAAACCCUUAUCUACCAAAUCUUGCAAUUGGACUUUCAGUUCCUUCAACUCCACUAGAGCCAUUCGAUACGGAGGGAUAAAAAUAGGUGUGGUACCCGGAAGUAGAUGAAUAGGGUACUCGAGCUCUCGAUCAGAAGGUAGUCCCGAUAACUCAUCAGGAAUACAUUAGAAAACUCACAUACUAUUGGGACAUCCUCUAACUUAGGUUCCCCCUUUUAAGUAUCGAUCACGUGUGCCAAAUAAGCUGGAUACCCUUUCUGCCCUAAUUUCAAAGCUUUGAUGGUCGAGAUUACACAGAACGGUAAUACUCGACGUUCCCCUGCAAAAACAAUCUCUGCUCCCUUCGAAUUUCUAAGAACAACUUCUUUCCUGAAACAAUUCGCAUUAGCCCGAUGUGCAGUUAACCAGUCCAUACCCAAUAUCAAAUCGAAAUCUCGGAUCUCUAGAGGAAUUAAAUCACCGCUAAAUUCUUCAUCACCAACCAUUACCCUAUAGUCUCUAUAACAAGUAUUUCUAAUGAACUGUUCUCCUAGAGGGGUAUAAACUACAAUUUCUUCCUCUAAUGGUGACAGAUUUCUAUCACCAAUUGAUGUAAAUGCCAUACUCACAUAAGACCUAUCUGAGCCAGAAUCUAUUAAGACACAUGCAUCUUUAUCAAAUAAAAACAUAGUACCUGUCACUGCUCCAGGUCAAACCCAUGCCUCAUCUUCUGUCACAGCAAAAACUCUUGUCGAAUAACAAGUCUGUGGUCUAGAGGGUGGAUGUGCCGGAGUAUUACUCUCCACACCAGACUGUAUGGCUACUCCCUAUCUCGGUGGUAACCUAGAAAAAUCUUUCCUAUGCAUAUCAGUGCGAGCUGGUGGAGAUGAUGCAGCUAUAGUAGCUCAUCCGAACUGUGGGCAAGUACUCCUAAUAUGACCCUACUAACCACAAUGAAAACAUCGUGCAGGCCCCCUACACAGCCCAACAUGAUAAUUCUCAUAAUUUCUGCAUCUAUCAAAACCUCCGAAACUCUUCCCAGGAAAAGUCAUCGCAGACCUACUAGAUCUCAGAGGCCUCUGCUGCUGUUGUGAAAAUGGGGGUCGAAAAGAUGCUACAGAAGCAGAAGUAGUACUCCUUGAAGCAGAUGAGUCUUUGUCCCUCUUUACUGGCUGACUAGAAGAUAUACUAGGAUUCUUCUUUUUUGUAAACUCGGUCUGAAUCCUCCUAUUCUCAAUAGCAAGCUUCUCAACCCGUAAAGCCAUCUGUACUACCUCUUUAUGCGACUCUCUGCUUGUCGCUAUCAUCCGCUCUCUAAUCUUAUUACGAAGCCCUUCCUCGAAAUAAUUGGCCUGAUCCUGCUCAAUUUUCACCAAAUUCAGCACAUAUAACAUCAGCUCGUUAAAACGAGCCUCGUAUUCCUUUACCGUUAGGUUCCCUUGUUUUAAGCUCAAAAAUUCCCUUUUCUUUUCAUUCUGAUGGAAAUAAGUGAAAUACUGACCAUCAAAUUCUCUUAGAAAGUUUGACGAAGUCGGAGGAGUAGUGGAACGGGAUUUUACUGAAUUCCACCAUGUGCGGUCCCUCCUCUCUAAUAAUCUCGUGGCCACCAUCAACUUCAUGUCGUCAUCCAACCUCAUAUCCGAAAGUGUCUCCAAAACUUGAUUAAUCCAAUCUUUGGCUGCGGUUGUAUCCAAAUCACCCAUAAAAGAAAUGCAACCAAGUUGCCUAGCCUUCUUAAGCUUCUUAGAAAUAGAGAUGUCUGGCAUUGGUGGUGGAACAAGAAGUGGAGGUACUGAAGGAGCAGUUGGAGGAACUGCAGAAGGAGCUUGACCAGCUUGAGCUUGGCCAGCAAUAGCGAUAAAGAAGGCUGCCAAUGCCUGAGCCACCUCGGGAGACAUGGUAGGAAUACCAGCAGGUGGAGGAGGAGGUGGAGGAUCUGGAGGAGUCUCGGCCUGCUCAGCAACAGGUGCUGCCCGAAUGGUGGACGUAGUCGAUUCCUCUUCCAUAGGAUCUAACUGACGACAUUAGGAACGACCUCUUCCCUUCCCAGCUGAUCUAGUAAGAUGUGGGUGUUCACGUCGAGGAGGCAUGAUAAUCUAUAAGAGGAAGCAAGCAAGUUUAGGCAACCUUAGGCUCUAUAUGCAGAUGCAUGCAUUUUAUUCAACUUAACCUGACUUAACUUAACUUAACUUAACUUGGGGCCACACUGACACUGUAAAUUUUAAAACAACUUUAAAACCAAAAGCUUUGAUACCAAUCGAAUUGUCAAGACCAGGUACUCCCCUCUAGCCCGUACAACUGUUGCGGUGUCUAGAUGGACACUAUUACACAGAGUGCCAACCAGAACCCCGCAAGGCUUAAUAUCAGUUUCUCAUUUCCCCUAUGAGUAACCGUUGCCAAAUAUCAUGUUCUAAAAGAUUUUAAGUUAUUUCCAAACCAAAACAAAUAAAAAAUAAUUUUCGUCUCUCAAGGGUAUUUUGGUCAUUUUUCCCUGAAAAUAUUGAAAUCAGCUAAUAAUGUAGUAUACGAGUGUAAAACACAUAUUUCAUUAUCAAAAAUAAGUUUACAUGUCUAAAACGUUCAUUUAAAGUGAAACUAUACCUAUUUGAAUAUAAUAAAAAUAUUUAAUAAAAUAUUCUAUUUUCUUAUAAAAUAAUAUUUAUACAGUUACCGGUAAAUAAUUUUUAUAGCAUAAAAGCUAAAUAAAUUCAUACAUACUGUAAUACAGAUAACCAAAGCAUAAGAUUUAAUUUACAGUGACACGUGGGCCCCCAAAUGAUAAAAAUAAAACAAGGCUAUGAACCUACAAUUUUUGAAAAAGUAAAGCCAACUAUAGCCUUCGACAAUAUCAGCUAUCUACAAAACUAUCCUAAGCCUGAAAUGGGUGGAAAUGAGGGUGGUGAGAUUAUAUCCCAGUGAGUAAACAAAUACCAUCUAAAAUAUCUAAAGCCGAGUAACUGGAGACGAUUAAAAUAGAUCAUCAUGAAAUGGUUCAUAACAUCAAAACACAUUUCAAAUCAUUUAAGCCAGUUACAUUUCAUCCAAAUUUACAACAAGGCUUAUGUAUCUCUUAAAAACUUGGCUCGUGCCAAAACUCAUUCCCAGGGAUACCUUGAUCAGAGGCAUCCAAUCGAGAUCGCCAAGGCUGUUUAGAAAGUCAUAUACGUACAAAACACAUUUUUACAUUUAAAAGCACAGUUGUUCCUUGGCGUUGGCUCAAUUCACUCUCACGUGGUGGUUUGGCAUGAAGUGAACUCUAAACUUUACCCCAGGAGAUACCUUACGCACCUUUUCGAUUGAGGAAAGAAUAUAAUGCGGUUUACUGUGCCCCUCUAAUAGGCUGGUCCACAGAAACCCGCUACUGCAGUGACUAAUCAAUAUAUAAUCCACCAAUUCAAUAAAAUUUGCAAUAACAUGACAUGGUAGUUAUUUUAUUUUAUAGCCUCUCAAGGCAAAUUAACAGUUCAUACAUUCUCAGCACAUUUACUAAUUCAACCAUUCAUGCCAACAUUAUCAUAAGCCAUUCAAUUCAAACCAGGAUUUAUAACACGUCAAUUAGUCUCCAAUUACUCCAUUUGAAAACCAUCAUUCAAUUUCAAGACAAUUUUACAAAAUCAUUUCAUUUAAUCACAUUUUGUUUAUACAAUAAAAAAUUUAUCAUUUAAACUCAUUUUUCAUAAAAUCUCAAAAUCGGAUAAAAACUACUGUAGAUAAUUAAGACGAUAACAAGGUUACUCACAGUAUCAGGAGUUUGAAAUACUCCUAUUCUCAAUCCUCUGACUCAACGUCUUUACCCUUGUUAGAGGGCUCACCACUUAUAUACAAUACAAGACACACAAUUCAAUAUACUGUGUCAUACCAUUAUAAAUCUAUUUCAGGCUCUUUACUAAUGCAUGAAAUGGAAUGCAAAUUGUUCGGAUUAUUGUCUAAACACGGUGUUCUACACAAAUUAAAUUGUGCAGCAAAAUAAAUCGGUAUUGGCCUAAUUCGAUCUAUCACCUGAUUAAUUGCCAAUAUGUCCAAUUCAACUCUAAUUAAUUCCAUUUUUCUCCCAAUUCUUCAAAUCACCAAACACAAGUCAAAUAACAUAAAAUUUAACAAAACUAUCCUCACAUUUCUUUUUGAGUAUUUCGGCCAUGGUGAGUGCAUCAACACUAUGAUUUUUCGUAUUUGAUUUUCUCACCGUAAUUCAUCAUUUCCUAACCAAUUCACUUGAAAUAAAAUCAAAUCCACCAUCCACACUCUACAUGGAAAAUUCAGCCAAUGAUGGGUGAUGGGAGAAAGUGAAUUUCUCUUGUUGGCUUUUCAUGCUACACAUCACUAACUAUCUGCAAACACUAAAAUACAUUAAAAUCUAACCAAAUCAAGCAUCAAAACUCCUGCCUCCAUGUCCGGACAGUAAGGGUAUCCUCAUGCAAACUUGAUUCUCAACCAUGGGAAAUGAAAAAGAAUGCAUGGGAAAGGUAGAUCACAAGCUAAACUCGAGAAAUUUUACCUUUGAUUGCUUGAUUACUUGAAAUCCACCAAUUUUCUCUUGAAUUUUCACUCUAGGGUUCUUGUUCUUUCUUUUCUUCCUUUGUUCUUCUUUG